rnacentral:rRNA from 1 species
GACGAACGCUGGCGGCGUGCUUAACACAUGCAAGUCGAACGGAAAGGCCCUGCUUUUGUGGGGUGCUCGAGUGGCGAACGGGUGAGUACACGUGAGUAACCUGCCCUUGACUUUGGGAUAACUUCAGGAAACUGGGGCUAAUACCGGAUAGGAGCUCCUGCUGCAUGGUGGGGGUUGGAAAGUUUCGGCGGUUGGGGAUGGACUCGCGGCUUAUCAGCUUGUUGGUGGGGUAGUGGCUUACCAAGGCUUUGACGGGUAGCCGGCCUGAGAGGGUGACCGGCCACAUUGGGACUGAGAUACGGCCCAGACUCCUACGGGAGGCAACAGUGGGGAAUAUUGCACAAUGGGCGGAAGCCUGAUGCAGCAACGCCGCGUGCGGGAUGACGGCCUUCGGGUUGUAAACCGCUUUCGCCUGUGACGAAGCGUGAGUGACGGUAAUGGGUAAAGAAGCACCGGCUAACUACGU